GACGAACGCUGGCGGCGUGCCUAAUACAUGCAAGUAGAACGCUGAAGGAGGAGCUUGCUUCUCUGGAUGAGUUGCGAACGGGUGAGUAACGCGUAGGUAACCUGCCUGGUAGCGGGGGAUAACUAUUGGAAACGAUAGCUAAUACCGCACAAGAGUAGAUGUUGCAUGACAUUUACUUAAAAGGUGCAAUUGCAUCACUACCAGAUGGACCUGCGUUGUAUUAGCUAGUUGGUGAGGUAACGGCUCACCAAGGCAACGAUACAUAGCCGACCUGAGAGGGGGAUCGGCCACACUGGGACUGAGACACGGCCCAGACUCCUACGGGAGGCAGCAGUAGGGAAUCUUCGGCAAUGGACGGAAGUCUGACCGAGCAACGCCGCGUGAGUGAAGAAGGUUUUCGGAUCGUAAAGCUCUGUUGUAAGAGAAGAACGAGUGUGAGAGUGGAAAGUUCACACUGUGACGGUAUCUUACCAGAAAGGGACGGCUAACUACGUG
rnacentral:rRNA from 1 species